rnacentral:rRNA from 1 species
AACUGAAGAGUUUGAUCAUGGCUCAGAUUGAACGCUGGCGGCAGGCUUAACACAUGCAAGUCGAGCGGGGGAAGGUAGCUUGCUACCGGACCUAGCGGCGGACGGGUGAGUAAUGCUUAGGAAUCUGCCUAUUAGUGGGGGACAACAUCUCGA